AACGAACGCUGGCGGCAUGCCUAACACAUGCAAGUCGAACGAGACCUUCGGGUCUAGUGGCGCACGGGUGCGUAACGCGUGGGAACCUGCCUUUAGGUUCGGAAUAACUCAGAGAAAUUUGAGCUAAUACCGGAUGAUGUCUUCGGACCAAAGAUUUAUCGCCUUUAGAUGGGCCCGCGUUGGAUUAGCUAGUUGGUGGGGUAAAGGCCUACCAAGGCGACGAUCCAUAGCUGGUCUGAGAGGAUGAUCAGCCACACUGGGACUGAGACAAGGCCCAGACUCCUACGGGAGGCAGCAGUGGGGAAUAUUGGACAAUGGGCGAAAGCCUGAUCCAGCAAUGCCGCGUGAGUGAUGAAGGCCUUAGGGUUGUAAAGCUCUUUUACCCGAGAUGAUAAUGACAGUAUCGGGAGAAUAAGCUCCGGCUAACUCCGUG
rnacentral:rRNA from 1 species